rnacentral:rRNA from 1 species
GUGCCAGCCGCCGCGGUAAUACGGAGGGUGCAAGCGUUGUUCGGAUUUACUGGGCGUAAAGCGCGCGCAGGCGGAUAGGUAAGUCAGAUGUGAAAUCUCGGGGCCCAACCUCGAAACUGCGUCUGAAACUAUCUAUCUAGAAUCUCGGAGGGGGAAGUGGAAUUUCGCAUGUAGGGGUAAAAUCCGUAGAGAUGCGAAGGAACACCGGAGGCGAAGGCGACUUCCUGGCCGAGCAUUGACGCUGAGGCGCGAAAGCGUGGGUAGCAAACAGGAUUAGAAACCCGGGUAGUCC